AAUCUCCGGUUUCCCUUCACUACGAACAAAUCUUUCGUAUUUUACUAAAGAUUUUCGUGGAGGGGAGCAUAAUUCAAAGGCGUCUAGUAAUUUAAUCAUUAAAAAUCCAAUAGAUUUCUA